rnacentral:rRNA from 1 species
AGGACGAACGCUGGCGGCGUGCUUAACACAUGCAAGUCGAGCGGUGAUCCUCCUUCGGGAGGUGAGCAGCGGCGAACGGGUGAGUAACACGUGGGCAACCUGCCCCUCACACUGGGAUAACCUCGGGAAACCGGGCUAAUACCGGAUAUGACCUUUGAGGGCAUCCUCGAAGGUGUAAAGGAUUCUGGCCAGGGAUGGGCCCGCGGCCUAUCAGCUUGUUGGUGGGUAACGGCCUACCGAAGGCGACGACGGGUA